CGGCGGACUAGGCUGGGGGGUUCGGCGUCCCCUGUAACCCGAAACCGUCGAUAUGCGGGGGCCGAAGCCCGAGGGGCGGUUCCUGAAUCCAGCGGCGGAAGCCGGGGUAAACGAUGAGCCCUCGUCCCACGGGGCCGGCGGUGGGCGGGGCGGAGCUGAAGGGCUCCGCUAACGCCCUUUGCCCGCCGAACCCCGCAAGGCCCGGAAGGGAGCAGCGGUAGGCGGGACGUUCGGCGCUCGUGGGGUAGCGGGGGCGAGGGAGUCCCGGUGGAAGCCGCUGGAGGAGGGUUCCCACCCUCGGGCGCGUCCGCCG
rnacentral:SRP_RNA from 17 species